rnacentral:sRNA from 1 species
UCGCGAAGUAGUGCCUGAGGGCUUCGU